rnacentral:rRNA from 1 species
AACGAACGCUGGCGGCAGGCCUAACACAUGCAAGUCGAACGAGAAGCCACCUUCGGGUGGUGGACAGUGGCAGACGGGUGAGUAACGCGUGGGAACGUGCCUUUCGGUUCGGGAUAACCCAGGGAAACUUGGGCUAAUACCGGAUACGCCCUUCGGGGGAAAGAUUCAUUGCCGAAAGAUCGGCCCGCGUCGGUUUAGCUAGUUGGUGGGGUAAAAGCCUACCAAGGCGACGAUCCGUAGCUGGUCUGAGAGGAUGACCAGCCACACUGGGACUGAGACACGGCCCAGACUCCUACGGGAGGCAGCAGUGGGGAAUAUUGGACAAUGGGCGCAAGCCUGAUCCAGCCAUGCCGCGUGGGUGAAGAAGGCCUUAGGGUUGUAAACCCCUUUCAGCGGGGAAGAUAAUGACGGUACCCGCAGAAGAAGCCCCGGCUAACUUCGUGCCAGCAGCCGCCGUAACAC